rnacentral:rRNA from 1 species
UACGUAGGGGGGCAAGCGUUGUCCGGAAUUAUUGGGCGUAAAGAGCGUGUAGGCGGUCCGGUAAGUCAGCUGUGAAAGUCAAGGGCUCAACCCUUGAAUGCCGGUUGAUACUGUCGGGCUAGAGUCCGGAAGAGGCGAGUGGAAUUCCCGGUGUAGCGGUGAAAUGCGCAGAUAUCGGGAGGAACACCAAUGGCGAAGGCAGCUCGCUGGGACGGUACUGACGCUGAGACGCGAAAGCGUGGGGAGCAAACAGG